rnacentral:rRNA from 1 species
UGGGGAAUAUUGCACAAUGGGCGCAAGCCUGAUGCAGCCAUGCCGCGUGUGUGAAGAAGGCCUUCGGGUUGUAAAGCACUUUCAGCGAGGAGGAAGGGUGGUGUGUUAAUAGCACACUGCAUUGACGUUACUCGCAGAAGAAGCACCGGCUAACUCCGUGCCAGCAGCCGCGGUAAUACGGAGGGUGCAAGCGUUAAUCGGAAUUACUGGGCGUAAAGCGCACGCAGGCGGUUUGUUAAGUCAGAUGUGAAAUCCCCGCGCUUAACGUGGGAACUGCAUUUGAAACUGGCAAGCUAGAGUCUUGUAGAGGGGGGUAGAAUUCCAGGUGUAGCGGUGAAAUGCGUAGAGAUCUGGAGGAAUACCGGUGGCGAAGGCGGCCCCCUGGACAAAGACUGACGCUCAGGUGCGAAAGCGUGGGGAGCAAACA